AGAGUUUGAUCAUGGCUCAGAAUCAACGCUGGCGGCGUGCCUAACACAUGCAAGUCGAACGCGGUUAUCCCGCAAGGGAUAGCUGAGUGGCGAACGGGUGAGUAACACGUGGGUGACCUACCUUCGAGUGGGGGAUAACGUCCCGAAAGGGACGCUAAUACCGCAUAACAUCCUGCCUUUGAACAGGUGGAGAUCAAAGCUGGGGAUCGCAAGACCUGGCGUUUGAAGAGGGGCCCGCGUCUGAUUAGCUAGUUGGUGAGGUAACGGCCCACCAAGGCUACGAUCAGUAUCCGGCCUGAGAGGGCGGACGGACACACUGGGACUGAGACACGGCCCAGACUCCUACGGGAGGCAGCAGUGGGGAAUUGUUCACAAUGGGCGCAAGCCUGAUGACGCAACGCCGCGUGGAGGAUGAAGGUCUUCGGAUUGUAAACUCCUGUUGCUCGGGACGAAAAGCUCUGACCUAACACGUCAGGGUCUGACGGUACCGAGUGAGGAAGCCCCGGCUAACUCUGUGCCAGCAGCCGCGGUAAUACAGAGGGGGCAAGCGUUGUUCGGAAUUACUGGGCGUAAAGGGCGCGUAGGCGGCCUUCUAAGUCAGACGUGAAAUCCCCGGGCUCAACCCGGGAACUGCGUCUGAUACUGGAGGGCUUGAAUCCGGGAGAGGGAUGCGGAAUUCCAGGUGUAGCGGUGAAAUGCGUAGAUAUCUGGAGGAACACCGGUGGCGAAGGCGGCAUCCUGGACCGGUAUUGACGCUGAGGCGCGAAAGCCAGGGGAGCAAACGGGAUUAGAUACCCCGGUAGUCCUGGCCCUAAACGAU
rnacentral:rRNA from 1 species